CCCUAGAUUCGAUUGCAUGCUGGCUGCUGCAACAUAAAACUAUAAAAGAGACAGAGAUCACCAGCAUCAUGUGCUUCACUCAGUUUCCCCUUCAAGACUAAUUAAUCUAGUAUUUCUCCCCACUCUUAAUUUUUCAUUUACAUAUUAAAGUUGAUCAAUUUGUUUUGGAAAAUGAAUUACUAGUUAUAUUGUUGUCAGUAUUUUUACUCGUUGAUCUUACUAGAACAGUGGCAUGGGGGAAUGCAUUUGGAUGACAAACCAUUUACUCUUUAUAAUUUAUAAAUAAAGUAACGAUUAUUAACUAACAACUUAUUAAUACAAACACCACUUCCAAGUGUAGUCCCAUGUGAUCAUGGACGGCUUUGCUUUUAAGUAUCAACUAUUAAAAAGUACUAAACAUUAAGUAGGGGAUACUAUGCGUUGGUGUUUCGUAUACAGUAAAUAUUUAUAAAUUAAUAUACUAUAAAUAGUAAUUUUGAACUGUAAUUUUCCAAAGUUCCAACAUUAUUAAAUUAUAAAAAAUUUACUGUAUAUAGUUAAUCACAAUAUUAAGG
rnacentral:lncRNA from 1 species